AAGAGAGCUGGUAUGCACCGAAAACUGCUAAUUUUCAUUACCUUGGUUAGACUCCAAGGCUCUCUGG
rnacentral:tRNA from 1 species